AACGAACGCUGGCGGCAUGCCUAACACAUGCAAGUCGAACGAGACCUUCGGGUCUAGUGGCGCACGGGUGCGUAACGCGUGGGAACCUGCCCUUAGGUUCGGAAUAACUCCCCGAAAGGGGUGCUAAUACCGGUUAAUGUCUUCGGACCAAGGAUUUAUCGCCUUUGGAUGGGCCCGCGUUGGAUUAGCUAGUUGGUAGGGUAAAAGCCUACCAAGGCGACGAUCCAUAGCUGGUCUGAGAGGAUGAUCAGCCACACUGGGACUGAGACACGGCCCAGACUCCUGCGGGAGGCAGCAGUGGGGAAUAUUGGACAAUGGGCGAAAGCCUGAUCCAGCAAGGCCGCGUGAGUGAUGAAGGCGUUAGGGUUGUAAAGCUCUUUUACCCGGGAUGAUAAUGACAGUACCGGGAGAAUAAGCUCCGGCUAACUCCGG
rnacentral:rRNA from 1 species